rnacentral:rRNA from 1 species
GACAGAGGUGCCAAGCGUUAGGCGGAAUCACUGGGCUUAAAGCGUGUGUAGGCGGGCGGGCAAGUACCUUGUGAAAUCCCACGGCUCAACCGUGGAACGGCUGGGUAUACUGCCUGUCUUGAGCCAGCUAGGGGCGACCGGAACAGACGGUGGAGCGGUGAAAUGCGUAGAUAUCGUCUGGAACGCCAAAGGUGAAAACAGGUCGCUGGGGCCGAGCUGACGCUGAGACACGAAAGCCAGGGGAGCGAACGGG